GAGAAAAAGGCAAACACAGCCAAAUUGUAGGAAGAGAGUCGGGCCCUAGGAAGUCCAGAAAACUGUUUGGGCAAGGCAGAGGGUGCAUCCACCAAGUCAGAUCACCAUCUCCUGUGUCUGAUGCCAACAUCAGAAAGGCUCCUUUCACCUGGCUGCUUGGGCCACCAGCAUGGGGUGAUGUGCAGAAAAAGUCAGGAUAGACAAGACCAUGAGGACAAGCAUGAAGACACAGCCCAGCCUUCACUGCUUCAGCCUGGUAAGCCUGUAGGGAGCUGCAGGGACCACAGCCAAUGCUCCAACACCAGGCAUGAGGUUAAAGCAGUCAUGAGCUGAAGAUUUCCCAAACUGGCAUCUGUCUGAAGACACCAUCCUAGUCGGAAAGGCUGUGAUUCCAACGGUGGUAUGUCUCUGGCAACCCACUGAAGUUGUCACACUUUCCCAGAGUCCUUAUGCUGGUUGUGCCACUGCCUGUGUUCUUCACCCCUGGUUUAAUUCCCUGUUUCCUGGAGCCCGGUGGGUGGGGGUGUGUUAUGACCCAGCGAGGGUGUCGCUGUCAGGUCAUUUGCUGCUGUUAAAUGCCAGGGUUCAAAUGCCAUGAAAAUUCCAAUAACUGCAGGUAGCUGUAUCUGAAGUUGAA